rnacentral:rRNA from 1 species
UACAGAGGUCUCAAGCGUUGUUCGGAUUCCUUGGGCGUAAAGGGUGCGUAGGCGGCGCGGUAAGUCGGGUGUGAAAUCUUGGAGCUUAACUCCGAAACUGCAUUCGAUACUGCCGUGCUUGAGGACUGGAGAGGAGACUGGAAUUUACGGUGUAGCGGUGAAAUGCGUAGAUAUCGUAAGGAAGACCAGUGGCGAAGGCGGGUCUCUGGACAGUUCCUGACGCUGAGGCACGAAGGUCAGGGGAGCAAACGGG